rnacentral:rRNA from 1 species
AUUGAACGCUGGCGGCAGGCCUAACACAUGCAAGUCGAGCGGAUGAGAAGAGCUUGCUCUUCGAUUCAGCGGCGGACGGGUGAGUAAUGCCUAGGAAUCUGCCUGGUCGUGGGGGACAACGUUUCGAAAGGAACGAUAAUACCGCAUACGUCCUACGGGAGAAAGCAGGGGACCUCCGGGCCUGGCGCUAUCAGAUGAGACUAGGUCGGAUUAGCUAGUUGGUGAGGUAAUGGCACACCAAGGCGACGACCCGUAACUGGUCUGAGAGGAUGAUCAGGCCAACUGGAACUGAGACACGGUCCAGACUCCUACGGGAGGCAGCAGUGGGGAAUAUUGGACGAUGGGCGAAGCCUGAUCCAGCCAUGCCGCGUGUGUGAAGAAGGUCUUCGGAUUGUAAAGCACUUUAAGUUGGGAGGAAGGGCAGUAAGUUAAUACCUUGCUGUUUUGACGUUACCGACAGAAUAAGCACCGGCUAACUCUGUGCCAGCCGCCGCCGUAAUAC